GAACAAGUACCGUGAGGGAAAGGUGAAAAGAACCCCGGGAGGGGAGUGAAAUAGAAACUGAAACCGUAUGCUUACAAAAAGUUCGAGCACAUUAAUGUGUGAGAGCGUGCCUUUUGCAGAAUGAACCGGCGAGUUAUUGUAUUAUGCAAGGUUAAGUCGAACAGAUGGAGCCGAAGCGAAAGCAAGUCUGAAUAGGGCGCUUUAGUAUGAUGCAAUAGACCCGAAACCGAGUGAUCUAGCCAUGAGCAGGUUGAAGUUGGGGUAAGACCCAAUGGAGGACCGAACCGAUAUGCCCGGAAACGCGUACGGAUGACUUGUGGUUAGCGGAGAAAUUCCAAACGAACUCGGAGAUAGCUGGUUCUCCCCGAAAUAGGUUUAGGCCUAGCCUUGAUUGAAUCUGCCCGGAGGUAGAGCACUGAAUGUGCGAUGGCGUCGUCUAGAUGUACUGAGUACAAUCAAACUCCGAAUGCUGGGUAGUACUAAUCAGGAGUCACUGUAUGGGUGAUAACGUCCAUACGGGAGAGGAAAAGAAUCCGGAUCGCCAGCUAAGGUCCCAAAAUUUGUGUUAAGUGGGAAAGGAUGUAGAGUUGUCAAAACAGCUAGGAGGUUGGCUUAGAAGCAGCCACCCUUUAAAGAGUGCGUAAUAGCUCACUAGUCGAGUGACACUGCGCCGAAGAUGUACCGGGGCUAAACACAAUACCGAAGCUGCGGACUUGUACUUAUGUGCAAGUGGUAGGGGAGCGUUCUAAGGGCUGUGAAGGUAGACCGUAAGGACUGCUGGAGCGUUUAGAAGUGAGAAUGCCGGUGUGAGUAACGAAAAUUGGGUGAGAAUCCCAUUCACCGUUUGACUAAGGUUUCCUGGGUAAAGUUCGUCUUCCCAGGGUUAGUCAGGACCUAAGAUGAGGCUGAAAAGCGUAGUCGAUGGACAACAGGUUUAUAUUCCUGUACCACCUAUGUAACUGAUGGAGUGACGGAGAAAGCUAAUGAGAGCCAGUUAUUGGAUUCUGGUCUAAGUGCGUAGGCUAGUAUGUUGGGAAAUCCGCAAUACUAUUACAGCUGAAACAUGAUGGGGAAGUGAUCCUUCGGGUGAGCAAACUUUCAUGAUGCUACGCUUCCAAGAAAAGCUUCUAGGGCUAAUUGCAUAGGUGCCUGUACCGACAACCGACACAGGUGGUCAAGGAGAGUAUCCUAAGGUGAGCGAGAGAACUAUGGUUAAGGAACUCGGCAAAAUGACCCCGUAACUUCGGGAGAAGGGGUGGUCUAGCGAUAGACCCGCAGUGAAUAGGCCCAGGCAACUGUUUACCAAAAACACAGGUCUCUGCUAACACGUAAGUGGAUGUAUAGGGGCUGACGCCUGCCCAGUGCUGGAAGGUUAAAGAGAUUAGUUAGUAUGACGCAAGUCGAUAAUACGAAGCUUUGAACUGAAGCCCCAGUGAACGGCGGCCGUAACUAUAACGGUCCUAAGGUAGCGAAAUUCCUUGUCAGGUAAG
rnacentral:rRNA from 1 species